rnacentral:lncRNA from 1 species
UCAAGCAAGCGGGUCAGAUUCAAGUGAGGAGUAAGGAGUCAGCUAAGCAGUAAGGUUUCAAGUCCAGGUCAACAGCAAGCGGGUAAUCAACAAGUGGAGUUCGGGCAAGACGUUUAGCAUCGGGAAAAGUGUCAUAAUUCUUUGUUGAGAACGAUCGAUGGAUUCAAUUCCGGCAAUCCAAUCUUAAUGACUAACAUCUACGCUCGAAAGAACAGUAUAUUAUUCCGUAUUGCAAGCCGGGCCGG